ensembl:lncRNA
UUCUAUUUUGGAUAAGGUACCGGGUCAGUUUUGGGGAAAAAGGUGGGACUCCCAACUGCCAUCCAUGCUUCAAAUUCUCAGCGUCAUUUCAGAAAAAGAAAACCGAGCUCUACUCGAUUGUAGAUCAGAAAUUGAUCAUCCCCCACCCCACCUCUUCUGACUGAUACAAUUUCAAGUUACAACUCUGCUCAACUUCAUUAUCUGUAAGAUCUUUCUUGUGGUUUCCAUUACAUCUCGGCAGACGCUGCUCUUUGCAAUAUGGGGAUCCUAUAGCUCAAUUACUCCACCAAAUUAACCCUUAGCGUCACCCACAGAAGUCGCUACCCUCACCCGAGCAUUCCCAACUUUCGAAGGCGACACGAAACCUUUGCAGGUAAGGUCCUGGAGACCUCCCGAUAGCCCUUCAGAAGGGCCACGAUUCCAGCUGCACGGGGGGGCCGGCACCGCGGCCAAGGCGACAUCGCGGCGGGCAACGCCGCCGCCGUCGGGAGAAAUUCCGGGAGAUCCCUGACGCGUCCUAGCCAGAAGCCACCCUGGCAGUUCGGGUCCCUCCGCACUCCCAGCGAUCCCUGGAGCGGGCCGGGCAGGGGUCUCCGGCUCGGCCGGGCCACCCUCCUUCCCUCAGCGCCGGCGCUGGGGAGGCGGGAGAGCGGCAGCCGCGCCCGCCCGGAUCGCCUCUCGCCCAGCGGCGACCGCGGCUCCCGGCGAACGCGCCUUCUUCCGCUGCCAGGGCUGUGACCUUAAGAAACUUGGUAAGGGAAUGAAAGGGAGGGACUUUGCCGGAGCCCAUUCUCGGCUUCUGAUCCCUCCUGACGCGCCGGAGCCCAAAGGGAAAACAAGGAAACAAAACCCUGGCCGGCAUCGAGAGCCCCGCACCCCUCCCGAGCGGCGGUACCUGUCCGGCGGCGGGGCGGCCGGCGCGGCACUUUCCCCCUCGGUGUGCGGGAGGCGCUCGGCGGCGGACGAGCUGCUAUUUAUAGUCCGGAGCCUCCAACAGCGCGACGGACGGCGAGAGGAAAUGAAGAGCCGGGCAGCCGGAGCCGAGCCUCCCCGCCGCCAAGGAGAGAUAAAUUCUGGUAUUUGAAGCUUCAAUCAAUCCUUUUGAGACUACGUGUGCGUUAUUGCAGGACGCUGUCUGGGAUUUGAGCAGCAUAAGUCACUCCUACACCGUUACUCUCCAAGCAACUGAAGUUAAUACAGAUUAGAUAGUUAUAUUAACCUACUCAAUAUAAUUUGUUUCAGAGUUGGAUUUUUAGUGUUUCCUGUGUUGUAAUAACUGCAGUUAUUACAGGUACCAGCACAAAGCCUUACAAAGCCUUACAGUGAUCUGUGCAAAGCAAGAUUGAUUCAGCUUCAAGAGCUUGAAGUCAAAACAGAUACAAAACUGGGAGCAGAGACACAAAGAUGGGAACUAAACAAAUAGCAUUAUAAGCGACACAGAAUUGAAAGGAAAAUGCUGAGAAGGCACAAGAGAUAUUUGACCUUGUCCAAACAUCUAAACAAAGUAAUACACAAAAAUCUAGCUUGGUGGAACUACCCACUUACAUAAAGAUACUCAUGCAUAAAUGUUUAAAUAAGACUCAUAUUGAACGAAUCAUCAUUGUGAAGUUAAACUACCUUUUCAAUU